UGCUGGAGGUAUCAGAAGUGCGAAUGCUGACAUAAGUAACGAUAAAGCGGGUGAAAAGCCCGCUCGCCGGAAGACCAAGGGUUCCUGUCCAACGUUAAUCGGGGCAGGGUGAGUCGACCCCUAAGGCGAGGCCGAAAGGCGUAGUCGAUGGGAAACGGGUUAAUAUUCCCGUACUUGGUGUUACUGCGAAGGGGGGACGGAGAAGGCUAUGUUGGCCGGGCGACGGUUGUCCCGGUUUAAGCGUGUAGGUGUGUGUUCCAGGUAAAUCCGGUUCACUUUAACACUGAGGCGUGAUGACGAGGCACUACGGUGCUGAAGCAACAAAUGCCCUGCUUCCAGGAAAAGCCUCUAAGCAUCAGGUAACAUCAAAUCGUACCCCAAACCGACACAGGUGGUCAGGUAGAGAAUACCAAGGCGCUUGAGAGAACUCGGGUGAAGGAACUAGGCAAAAUGGUGCCGUAACUUCGGGAGAAGGCACGCUGACAUGUAGGUGAAGUGAUUUACUCACGGAGCUGAAGUCAGUCGAAGAUACCAGCUGGCUGCAACUGUUUAUUAAAAACACAGCACUGUGCAAACACGAAAGUGGACGUAUACGGUGUGACGCCUGCCCGGUGCCGGAAGGUUAAUUGAUGGGGUCAGCGCAAGCGAAGCUCCUGAUCGAAGCCCCGGUAAACGGCGGCCGUAACUAUAACGGUCCUAAGGUAGCGAAAUUCCUUGUCGGGUAAGUUCCGACCUGCACGAAUGGCGUAAUGAUGGCCAGGCUGUCUCCACCCGAGACUCAGUGAAAUUGAACUCGCUGUGAAGAUGCAGUGUACCCGCGGCAAGACGGAAAGACCCCGUGAACCUUUACUAUAGCUUGACACUGAACAUUGAGCCUUGAUGUGUAGGAUAGGUGGGAGGCUUUGAAGUGUGGACGCCAGUCUGCAUGGAGCCGACCUUGAAAUACCACCCUUUAAUGUUUGAUGUUCUAACGUGGACCCGUUACCCGGGUUGCGGACAGUGUCUGGUGGGUAGUUUGACUGGGGCGGUCUCCUCCUAAAGAGUAACGGAGGAGCACGAAGGUUGGCUAAUCCUGGUCGGACAUCAGGAGGUUAGUGCAAUGGCAUAAGCCAGCUUGACUGCGAGCGUGACGGCGCGAGCAGGUGCGAAAGCAGGUCAUAGUGAUCCGGUGGUUCUGAAUGGAAGGGCCAUCGCUCAACGGAUAAAAGGUACUCCGGGGAUAACAGGCUGAUACCGCCCAAGAGUUCAUAUCGACGGCGGUGUUUGGCACCUCGAUGUCGGCUCAUCACAUCCUGGGGCUGAAGUAGGUCCCAAGGGUAUGGCUGUUCGCCAUUUAAAGUGGUACGCGAGCUGGGUUUAGAACGUCGUGAGACAGUUCGGUCCCUAUCUGCCGUGGGCGCUGGAGAACUGAGGGGGGCUGCUCCUAGUACGAGAGGACCGGAGUGGACGCAUCACUGGUGUUCGGGUUGUCAUGCCAAUGGCACUGCCCGGUAGCUAAAUGCGGAAGAGAUAAGUGCUGAAAGCAUCUAAGCACGAAACUUGCCCCGAGAUGAGUUCUCCCUGAGACUUAGAGUCUCCUGAAGGAACGUUGAAGACGACGACGUUGAUAGGCCGGGUGUGUAAGCGCAGCGAUGCGUUGAGCUAACCGGUACUAAUGAACCGUGAGGCUUAACCUU
rnacentral:rRNA from 1 species